GAAAGCGUGGGGGNCGAACAGGAUUAGAUACCCUGGUAGUNCACGCCGUAAACGAUGAGUGNUAGGUGUUAGGCCCUUUCCGGGGNUUAGUGCCGCAGCUAACGCAUUAAGCACUCCGCCUGGGGAGUACGACCGCAAGGUUGAAACUCAAAGGAAUUGACGGGGGCCCGCACAAGCGGUGGAGCAUGUGGUUUAAUUNGAAGCAACGCGAAGAACCUUACCAGGUCUUGACAUCCCGAUGCCCGCUCUAGAGAUAGAGUUUUACUUCGGUACAUCGNNGACAGGUGGUGCAUGGUUGUCGUCAGCUCGUGUCGUGAGAUGUUGGGUUAAGUCCCGCAACGAGCGCAACCCUUAUUGUUAGUUGCCAUCAUUCAGUUGGGCACUCUAGCGAGACUGCCGGUAAUAAACCGGAGGAAGGUGGGGAUGACGUCAAAUCAUCAUGCCCCUUAUGACCUGGGCUACACACGUGCUACAAUGGCUGGUACAACGAGUCGCAAGUCGGUGACGGCAAGCUAAUCUCUUAAAGCCAGUCUCAGUUCGGAUUGUAGGCUGCAACUCGCCUACAUGAAGUCGGAAUCGCUAGUAAUCGCGGAUCAGCACGCCACGGUGAAUACGUUCCCGGGCCUUGUACAC
rnacentral:rRNA from 1 species